CACGGGGGGAGCAAGCGUUGUUCGGAAUCACUGGGCGUAAAGGGCGUGUAGGCGGUCAAGUAAGUGGAAUGUGAAAGCCCCCGGCCUACCCGGGGAUCUGCAUCCCAAACUGCUUGGCUUGAGUACGGGAGAGGAUAGGGGAAUUCCUGGUGUAGCGGUGAAAUGCGUAGAUAUCAGGAGGAACACCGGUGGCGAAGGCGCCUAUCUGGCCCGAUACUGACGCUGAGGCGCGAAAGCUAGGGGAGCAAACGGG
rnacentral:rRNA from 1 species